rnacentral:misc_RNA from 1 species
GUGGAAACGACGUCGUUGAAGCUAUUUCACGAUUUUGCCGUCGCAAAAAUAUGGGCCUUUGUGUUCUUAACGGUUCCGGUACCGUUGCUAAUGUCUCUCUCCGUCAACCCUCCGCCACACCUGGCGCUACCGUUACUUUUCACGGCCGUUUUGAGAUUCUCUCCAUUUCCGCUACCGUCUUCCCUCAAACCACGCCGUUACCUUUGCCUAAUGGUUUUACCAUCUCCCUCGCCG